rnacentral:Y_RNA from 1 species
GGCUGGUCCGAUGGUAGUGGAUUACCAGAAGUUACUAACAUUAGUGUCACUAAAGUUGGUACACAACCUGCCACUGCUAAAUUUGACUAGCUUUAA